rnacentral:RNase_P_RNA from 1 species
ACGUUCGGGUAAUCGCUGCAAGCUUGAGGCUUGUAGAGGAAAGUCCAUGCUCGCACGGUGCUGAGAUGCCCGUAGUGAUCGUGCCUAGCGAAACCAUAAGCUAGGGCAGCUGUUUAUCAGCUGACGGCGGAGAACAUGCCUAAGUCCUUAAGGAUAUGGCAUAAGUAUCCUGAAAGUGCCACAGUGACGUAGUCUUGUGAGAAAUCACAAGAGUGGAACGCGGUAAACCCCACGAGCGAGAAACCCAAAUGAUGGUAGGGGCACCUUCUCUGAGGAAAUGAACGAGGAGAAGGACAGAAGUUUUGGCUUCUGUAGAUAGAUGAUUACCACCGAAGUACGAGGUGCAAUUCCGUUUGCAGUACAACGGUACAAAACAUGGCUUACAGAA